rnacentral:pre_miRNA from 1 species
UAGCUUUGUCCUAAGUCAAAGUUCUUAAAGUUUGACUAAGUUUAUAGAAAAAUAUAUCAACAUCUAGGAUAUCAAAUAAGUAUACUAUGAAAAUAUAAAUCAUAAUGUUUUUAAUAAAACUAAUUGAGUCGUAGAUGUUGGUAGAUUUUUCUGUAAAUUUGGUUAAAGUUUAAGAAGUUUGACUUAGGACAAAGGUAG